UACGUAGGUGGCGAGCGUUAUCCGGAAUGAUUGGGCGUAAAGGGUGCGUAGGUGGCAGAUCAAGUCUGGAGUAAAAGGUAUGGGCUCAACCCGUACUGGCUCUGGAAACUGAUCAGCUAGAGAACAGAAGAGGACGGCGGAACUCCAUGUGUAGCGGUAAAAUGCGUAGAUAUAUGGAAGAACACCGGUGGCGAAGGCGGCUGUCUGGUCUGGAUUCUGACACUGAAGCACGAAAGCGUGGGGAGCAAAUAGG
rnacentral:rRNA from 1 species